ensembl:snoRNA SNORA74 Small nucleolar RNA SNORA74
UCCAGCUCUUAAGUCAGCUGUCCAGGUCCUGUGUGUCUGGCUCAGUGUUACAGUGCUGGUAGAGGAAGUCUCUGCACUAGUCCUCAGCUCGGCUGGCUCUGUUUUAGAGUCGGCUGAUUCUGAGCUGUAGCAGAGCUUGGCUCAGUGAGAGUGGCCUGUCCUGGACACAUGGCAGGACUGGCCUAGUACAGAGCCGAACAGU